UACAGAGGUCUCAAGCGUUGUUCGGAUUCAUUGGGCGUAAAGGGUGCGUAGGCGGCGGGGCAAGUCAGGUGUGAAAUCCCGGGGCUCAACCCUGGAACUGCACUUGAUACUGCUUUGCUAGAGUACUGGAGAGGAGACUGGAAUUUACGGUGUAGCAGUGAAAUGCGUAGAUAUCGUAAGGAAGACCAGUGGCGAAGGCGAGUCUCUGGACAGUUACUGACGCUGAGGCACGAAGGCCAGGGGAGCAAACGGG
rnacentral:rRNA from 1 species